GUGGAAGGUUUACAUCAAGAGUUUGCCAGGGCAGGAUCUGACGUCCUCCAGGCAUUUACACACCAUGGUCUAUGGGUAAAUAUAUCAGAAUUUUAGGAUUAUUUGAAUUUUUUUUCUCACUCGAUAGAACCAUGUGUAGCAGCGUUUUGUUGAUGCAGAUUUCGAGUAUAAAUUUACACAUUAUUUUAUUAGACCUAAUUACCAGGAACAGUUGCGAAAAGUUCAACUACAGGCUCUCUGGCAGGAAUCGAAUCUGUGGCCUUGCGAUUUUGUCAUGACACUGACUCAAUAAGAGAUAAUUCUUACUGGACGUCUAUAGAGAACAGUUUAGAACUGAUAGAGCUAUCCAGUAUAAAUAAAGAUAAUUUAGUUUAGGUUUCUUCCUGUAGUAACACUAACUGGGUCAAUAAGAGAUUAUCUUUACUGGACCUCUAGGAAGAACAGUUUAGAACUGAUAGAGCUAUCCAGCAUAAACAAAGUUAGUUUAGUUUAGGUUUCCUCUUGUAGUAACAAUAAGAGAUGAUCCUUACUGGACUUCUAGGAAGAACAGUUUAAAACUGAUAGAACUAUUCAGUAUAAAUAAAGUUAGUUUAAUUUAGGUUUCCUCCUGUAGUAACAGUGGAUCAAUAAGAGAUGAUCCUUACUGGACCUCUAGGAAGAACAGUCUAGAACUGAUAGAGCUAUCCAGAAUAAAUAAAGUUAGUUUAGUUUAGGUUUUCUCUUGUAGUAACACUGGAUCAAUAAGAGAUGAUCCUUACUGGACUUCUAGGAAGAACGGUUUAAAACUGAUAGAACUAUCCAGUAUAAAUAAAGUUAGUUUAAUUUAGGUUUCCUCCUGUAGUAACAGUGGAUCAAUAAGAGAUGAUCCUUACUGGACCUCUAGGAAGAACAGUCUAGAACUGAUAGAGCUAUCCAGAAUAAAUAAAGUUAGUUUAGUUUAGGUUUUCUCUUGUAGUAACACUGGAUCAAUAAGAGAUGAUCCUUACUGGACUUCUAGGAAGAACGGUUUAAAACUGAUAGAACUAUCCAGUAUAAAUAAAGUUAGUUUAAUUUAGGUUUCCUCCUGUAGUAACAGUGGAUCAAUAAGAGAUGAUCCUUACUGGACCUCUAGGAAGAACAGUCUAGAACUGAUAGAGCUAUCCAGAAUAAAUAAAGUUAGUUUAGUUUAGGUUUUCUCUUGUAGUAACACUGGAUCAAUAAGAGAUGAUCCUUACUGGACUUCUAGGAAGAACGGUUUAAAACUGAUAGAACUAUCCAGUAUAAAUAAAGUUAGUUUAAUUUAGGUUUCCUCCUGUAGUAACAGUGGAUCAAUAAGAGAUGAUCCUUACUGGACCUCUAGGAAGAACAGUCUAGAACUGAUAGAGCUAUCCAGAAUAAAUAAAGUUAGUUUAGUUUAGGUUUUCUCUUGUAGUAACACUGGAUCAAUAAGAGAUGAUCCUUACUGGACUUCUAGGAAGAACGGUUUAAAACUGAUAGAACUAUCCAGUAUAAAUAAAGUUAGUUUAAUUUAGGUUUCCUCCUGUAGUAACAGUGGAUCAAUAAGAGAUGAUCCUUACUGGACCUCUAGGAAGAACAGUCUAGAACUGAUAGAGCUAUCCAGAAUAAAUAAAGUUAGUUUAGUUUAGGUUUCCUCCUGUAGUAACACUGGAUCAAUAAGAGAUGGCCUUACUGGACCUCUAGAAAGAACAGUUUAGAACUGAUGAAACUAUCCAGUAAAGUUGGUUCAGUUUAGAUUUUCUCCUGUAGUAACACUAGCCUUUACUGAGGGUUAUUGUUUAUUUAGUCGCGAACGGAAGGUCGAGACGAAGUCAACGAAUCAGCAUGUCGAAUCGUGAAAAAAGUUGCCGCACAGUACAACUGCCUCUGGGCUGGGGGAUUGUGUCCCACAAGCAUUUAUGGACAGGGAGGCUCGAAGAAGGACGUGCAAGAAUAUUUUAAAGGACAAGCCGAAAUCUUUGUGCGACAUGACUCUGAUUUUAUAAUUGUUGAG